AUGACGACGCCGGCCCCCGAUCCCGCUCAUUCCAACUGUGUACAUCUGCUUAACCAGCAAGUCCACCCAAGGGCUCACCAGCUGUCUCGUUCAGAGCAGCCGACUGGUGGCCUGGUGUACGUGGCAGCAGCUCCGAGGACCUUGACCUGGCGCGUUUCUCCAGCAACGAACAUCGUCUGCCCCGGGACUGUGUCUCCGGCCAGGCCUGAAGCCAAAGCCCUGGCGAAUCUACCCCCCAGCGCGGAGCCGCGAGCCACCAGCCACAGCCGCGAGCACACGGCCUGCGCCCACCGCGCCAGCGCCGCCCUCGCCCUCGGAGCCGCCUUCACGGCGCCGCCGCCCUGGGCCCUCUGCGUCCCUCGGCAGGAGCGGACUCCCACUUCCUCCUCUCAGAGCGGUCUUCGGGCUAGGCGUCUUCUGGGCUCCCUGUUUGGGGUGCUUUUUUUAAAAAAAAACAUUUUUAUUUAUUUACUCAUGGGAGACAGAGAGAGAGGUCAGACACAGGAGGAGGGAGAAGCAGGCUCCGUGCGGGGAGCCCGAUGUGGGACCCGAUCCCGGGACUCCAGGACCACGCCCUGGGCCGAAGGCGGCGCUAAGCCGCUGCGCCACCCGGGGAUCCCUUGCGCUGCUUCCGGUCUCGGUUCAGGGCUCGGGACCGCGCGGCCGGCCGCUCCCCUCCGCAGCCCCGGCCCCCACCCGCCGGGCCCACCGAUCACGCUCCGAGCCCGGCGCGUCACAAUGGCGCCCCCGCGGGUCCACCGCGCCGGUCCUCGCGUCCCUCCAGCCGCGUCUUCCCGGAGGAGAAGGUGCUCAGAGGGACGAUCGAGGUGCCGGAUGUGAAGAGCGGGAGCGUGAGACCCGGAGCCCGAGCUACAAAAGAUUGUACCCAAACUAGUUUGAUGCUGCCCUAUCCAGUGUCCCUUCUCUGAUGCUUGGUCUUGAAGGCAGUGAAAGCCCACCUUACCCUGGUGCUAUUUGCUGAGAG
rnacentral:lncRNA from 1 species